AUCAUUGAGUUGGGCACUCUAAAGAGACUGCCGGUGUCAAACCGGAGGAAGGUGGGGGAUGACGUCAAGUCCUCAUGGCCUUUAUGACCAGGGCUACACACGUACUACAAUGGCCGGUACAAAGGGCAGCGACACAGCGAUGUGAAGCGAAUCCCGAAAAGCCGGUCUCAGUCCGGAUUGGAGUCUGCAACUCGACUCCAUGAAGUUGGAAUCGCUAGUAAUCGCGGAUCAGCACGCCGCGGUCGAAUACGUUCCCGGGCCUU
rnacentral:rRNA from 1 species